CGGGGGGGGGGGGGGAGGAGGAGGGCGACGGGGGCACCUCAGGGUGCCCACAGCGCGGGGGGCGCCGGACCCCCUGAUCGGGGAGCGGGAAAGAGCAGAGGGGAAACUCGCCCUCCCAGAUGCCCGUGUCGGUUUUCUGCUGCUGCUGCUGCUUUUUUUUGUUUUUUUAAACCCCGAAAUAAUACAUACCUCCCCUCUGCCCCCCGACAAUAUCUUCUUUAGGGUGAAUAUUCACUUUUUAUAAGAUUUCUUCCCCGCGCCUCCCGACUUCGCAGCAGGCAGCCCCUGGCAGCGGCCCGGGAGGAUGUGUUCCUGGCUCUCGCCCUAAGUAACCAGGUGAAUGUCUCCCCCCCCCGCCCCCUCCCCGAUCUCCUUAUUUUUGCUCGUUAAAAUCAGAGCUAUCCGAGGGGAAAAAUUGUGGCUCCUCCUUGAGUUGCCCUGACCGUCAGGUGAAGCCAAAGCAAGCUGUGGGAUGUGUCCACCCCAGCAGCAGGCGGAAAGUGACUGGAAAUUAAAAUAACUUCGUUCGCCAGAGGUUAUCAGCUGGAUAUCUGUCAUCAUCAGUUUGUACAGAAAGAGUCAUCUGCGGCAAACGGCUGGACUAGAGCAGAGCCCGGCUCUCGGCAGCCGGCAGACAUGAGCCUUCCCGACAGAAACCGAGCCCAAACCUGCUGAUGCGCGGUGCUGUCGCUCCUGGGGUUUGCUCUCGAGCCGCUCAAAGCACACAGCCUUCGGUUCCUAACUCUUCAUGACGUCACUCCCUUCCCAAAUCCCACUCUUCUGACGUAACUUUCACCUCCGCGGCUCCCGGAGCCUCUCGGGUAUCUCCUGCCCCGGGGGGCAUCUGCAGGAAGAGUGCAGAGGCAUUUUUGCGGAGGAAAGCCGGGCGGGGGGAUGCUCGGUGCGGAAAGGGACCGUUAAGGAGGGAAGUGGUGCUGGCGAGGUAACCAUCGCUCCUGCUCGCUGUGGCCAAAGAGGGAAGGAGGUAGACUGGCAAAAAAAAAAAAGGAAAAGAAAAAGAAAAAAAAAAAGUUUUUGUAUCCAAUUAAGGCAAAUUCCCUCAUGGGCACUUCAACCUCCCCAAAAAGGGUCGGGGGAAAGCCGUGUGCAGGCGCAGCGUGGUUGUUCCUUCCCCCACUCCUGGAUCUCUGUAAAUCUGAUCCCUUACCAGGGGGUGCAUUGGGGAGGGGGGAAGGCCACAUCCCCUCAUUCCCGCCGACCCCCCCGGCCCGAGCAGCCCCGGGAGCCGCGGGCAUCGCCCGCCGGGCCGGGCCCCGGUGCCCCCGGGGCGCUGCGGCCGUGGGGGCUCGGCGUGCUUGGGUGCGAGGCGGUACGAGGGGUCACUUUGGUCACUAUCGCAGCAUGGAGUGUAUUCUUUUCCGAGCCGUGUUUAUGUAACUUAAUGUACUUUAGAAACUGUUGUGGAGUUUAGGCCAGGCUGAUAAGCGUAGCGGUUAUUACAAGGGACGUGCGGGCAGCUCUCCCUCUCUCUUCUCCCGUUCGCUUAUCCGCGCUACUUAAAAUAUACUUUUAUCAAGGCCACCCCACGAUAUGGAGUGUUUCCAUUCCCCAGCGACUGUGACAUUGAAGCGGACUUAUCGAUCGGGGCAUCGGCAGCGUUCAGGCGCGCCCAGCCCAGCGGGGAGCUGCCGGCCGGGUGGUUCCUCGCUUCCCCGCCGCUGCCCGCCGCGCAGGGCUCAAGCCCCCGCCGCAGGCACGGCGACAGGAGCCGGCACGGCAAUCUGCACCAGCCAGGGAAAGGGAGAUUUCAGCAGCAGCCGAGGGAGAAGGGCCCUUGCCACCGCCCAUCACCUCCCUCUCGGGCCAGGAGGGACAGCCUCGGGAACUGCGGCAGCGCUUCGUGAAACUCGACCCUCAAAGCAGCGGGGGGGCACAUGGUGGGGGUGCCCUUUGCGAGCGAUCAGACGUGUCCCAUGGCGAAGGGGGAGCCCCCAAUUCACAAGGAUGAGGAGUGAUUUGGGUUUUUUCUUUCCCCCAGACUCCUAGAAAAGGGCUGCGGGGUGCUCAAAGGCCGGGCUUGAACUCCAGCCUUUCUUGCUGGUUGCAGACAGCAGGCUCCGGCCCCCCCCAGCUGCCCCUGCCCGGGCAGGACAACCUGCCCCGGCUCCGGGGAGCCUAUCCCGCUCCCACCCGGCAGCCCGGCUCUCCUUCGGGUUGAAGCCGUGCCCGGCGGCGGGGAGCGGGGCGGGAGGUUAUUCCCCCCUGCAGUAAGUGGCCUCCCCGUCACUGGUGACCUGCUGCCGCCGUGCUUUCGGGUGAUUUCCACGGUGACUUUCAACCUUUGACGCUCAAACAAGCAGCAGGCAGCAGAAAGCCCGCACAGACUUUUAUGCAAUAGGUGGCUAAGAGUGUGGAGUUUGUGUCGCUUUUUUAAAAAAAAUAAUGAUGUGCAGCUUCUUUU